rnacentral:rRNA from 1 species
AACGUAGGGGACAAGCGUUAUCCGGAUUUACUGGGCGUAAAGCGCCCGUAGGCGGCCUGACAAGUUGGACGUGAAAGCUCCUGGCUUAACUGGGAGAGGCCGUUCAAAACUGUCAAGCUAGAGUCUGGAAGAGGAGAGCGGAAUUCCCGGUGUAGUGGUGGAAUGCGUAGAGAUCGGGAGGAACACCAGUGGCGAAAGCGGCUCUCUGGUCCAAAACUGACGCUGAGGGGCGAAAGCGUGGGGAUCAAACAGG